rnacentral:tRNA from 1 species
GCUCUUGUAGCUCAGUUGGUUAGAGCAGUCGUUUAGUAAGCGGGAGGUCUUGAGAACCACUCUCAAAAAGAGGA